rnacentral:rRNA from 1 species
GUUGGCUUUUAAAUGGAGUCGAGAAUGAAGGGGUUUUCGGGGAUUAGCUGUCUCUAUUAGAUUAAUUUGAAUUUACUUAGGGGGUGAAAAUUCCCUCUGAAAGAAAAAAGACGAGAAGACCCUAAGAGUUUUAACUAAGCCUUAUAUGUGUAGGGGAAGUUUUUGCUGGGGCGGCAAGGAGACAGGUAGUAUAACCCUCCUAUUUAGUUUUUAGAAGACGUAUAUAUAAAGAAACAAGAAACUACCUUAGGGAUAACAGCAUAAUUUAGUGUAAGUUUGUGACCUCGAUGUUGGACUAGGGACUUUACGGCUAGCAGUCGCAAGAGCAGGUUCUGUUCGAACCAUACUACCCU